UUCAAUAAAUUAGCGUCCGUUAGGCAGACGCUAAUUUAUUGACCCUACCAAAAUCAAUCGACCAAACCGUCCAAUUAUUGUCCAUAACGCCAUAUGGUCCUCUCUCACUCAAUUCUCUCUCACUCAAUUCUCUCUCACCUCAAUUCUUUCCUCUGUCUAACUCUUCAUCUCCCUCAAACUAUUCAUUUUCCUCAGAAAAAUUGUGGUUUUCGUUAUUUCACUCGUUUAGAUCUGGUAUUUUUGUUCAGUUAGUUGUGGUAGGGUUUUGUUCAGUUGGUUGCAUCAUCGCCGCUUCUGUCUCUGAGCUUCAUCGUCGUCUUCAAGCAUCACCGCCGCUUCUUUAUCAGGAUUCCUGAUCCCGAAGGGACUGUGAGUUAUCACCCGAGGAACCAAUACUUCUAUAAAAGGCAUUUUAGAUAUACAAUGUGAAAAUCAUAAUUUGGAAAGGAUGAGACAACUUGACAAAGUGGGGGAGUAUUAGUUGCUGCUGAAGUCACUUGGUCUGUACAAUUGUUGUGAUUGGUACAGCUUGCAAAAGAGUUAAAAAAUCUCGACGAAACACCUCCAGAAGGAAUCAAAGUGGGCGUUAAUGAUGAUGAUUUCACAACCAUAUUUGCUGAUAUAGAUGGCCCAGGUUUGUUUGAGUUUGAUAGGAUGACUUUGGAAAGGUUGAAGAUUGAAGAUUUGUAUAUUGAAGAAGAAAUGAUUUCUUUCUAAUGUAUUACAUAGAUUUUUUGUUAUUAUUUAUUUAAGUAAGGAUGUAAAUUAUUCACAAAUUUUGAUUUAUCAUUUCUAUUUAUAUUGUAAUUACUUUUAUUACAUAUAAUAAUAAUUAUAAUUUUUCCUUCUA